AAACACUUUUACCUUUGUUUCAAAAAUGACUGCUCUGAGAGAUCCUUAUUCUCUGUGGCAGAGUUAAAUUCUUGAGUUAGACACCAUAGUCCCAGCAGAA